AUUGAACGCUGGCGGCAGGCCUAACACAUGCAAGUCGAACGGUAGCACAGAGAGCUUGCUCUCGGGUGACGAGUGGCGGACGGGUGAGUAAUGUCUGGGAAACUGCCUGAUGGAGGGGGAUAACUACUGGAAACGGUAGCUAAUACCGCAUAACGUCGCAAGACCAAAGAGGGGGACCUUCGGGCCUCUUGCCAUCAGAUGUGCCCAGAUGGGAUUAGCUAGUAGGUGGGGUAACGGCUCACCUAGGCGACGAUCCCUAGCUGGUCUGAGAGGAUGACCAGCCACACUGGAACUGAGACACGGUCCAGACUCCUACGGGAGGCAGCAGUGGGGAAUAUUGCACAAUGGGCGCAAGCCUGAUGCAGCCAUGCCGCGUGUAUGAAGAAGGCCUUCGGGUUGUAAAGUACUUUCAGCGGGGAGGAAGGCGUUAAGGUUAAUAACCUUGGCGAUUGACGUUACCCGCAGAAGAAGCACCGGCUAACUCCGUGCCAGCAGCCGCGGUAAUACGGAGGGUGCAAGCGUUAAUCGGAAUUACUGGGCGUAAAGCGCACGCAGGCGGUCUGUCAAGUCGGAUGUGAAAUCCCCGGGCUCAACCUGGGAAC
rnacentral:rRNA from 1 species